rnacentral:rRNA from 1 species
ACAUGCCUACAAGAUAGCGUUAAUGCACCGUAUCCCAUUAGAACUCCAUAGUUAAGCAUGCUCAUGCUAGAGUAGUACUGGGAUGGGUGACCGUCCAGGAAGUCCUAGUGUUUUACAUGCC